rnacentral:rRNA from 1 species
UACGUAGGGUGCAAGCGUUGUCCGGAAUUAUUGGGCGUAAAGAGCUCGUAGGCGGUUUGUCGCGUCGAAUGUGAAAACCCGGGGCUCAACCCCGGGCCUGCAUUCGAUACGGGCAGACUAGAGUUCGGUAGGGGAGUCUGGAAUUCCUGGUGUAGCGGUGAAAUGCGCAGAUAUCAGGAGGAACACCGGUGGCGAAGGCGGGACUCUGGGCCGAUACUGACGCUGAGGAGCGAAUGCGUGGGGAGCAAACAGG